UACGUAGGCAGCGAGCGUUGUUCGGAAUUACUGGGCGUAAAGCGCGUGUAGGCGGCCCUGCAAGUCGGGUGUGAAAUCCCACGGCUCAACCGUGGAAGUGCACUCGAAACUGCAGGGCUAGAGUCCUGGAGAGGAAGGUGGAAUGCUUGGUGUAGAGGUGAAAUUCGUAGAUAUCAAGCGGAACACCGGUGGCGAAGGCGGCCUUCUGGACAGUGACUGACGCUGAGGCACGAAGGUCAGGGGAGCAAACGGGG
rnacentral:rRNA from 1 species